AAUGAACGUUGGCGGCGUGGAUUAGGCAUGCAAGUCGAGCGUGAUCGGUUCCCUCACCUUGCUUUCUCAUGAGAGAAGGUGUGGUGAGGGGACCGUGAAAGCGGCGAAAGGGAGAGUAACGCGUAGUUACGUACCCCGAGGCCCGGAAUAGCCACGGGAAACUGUGGGUAAUGCCGGAUAAUAUCUUAGGAUCAAAGAUGUGAUUUCACCUUGGGAGCGGACUGCGUCGUACUAGCUUGUUGGUGGGGUAAUGGCCUACCAAGGCGAUGAUGCGUAGCGGGUGUGAGAGCAUGACCCGUCUCACUGGGACUGAGACACUGCCCAGACACCUACGGGUGGCUGCAGUCGAGAAUCUUCGGCAAUGGGCGAAAGCCUGACCGAGCGACGCCGCGUGCGGGAUGAAGGCCUUCGGGUUGUAAACCGCGAAAGUAGGGAGGAAGGCUUCGUGAAGAACGAGGUUUGACCGAUCUACAGUAAGGACGGGCUAAGUACGUGCCAGCAGCCGCCGUAAAAC
rnacentral:rRNA from 1 species